rnacentral:rRNA from 1 species
ACAUCGCCUCUUGCUUAAAUAUAAGAGGUCCCGCCUGCCCACUGACCAAGUUUAACGGCCGCGGUAUCUUAACCGUGCAAAGGUAGCACAAUAAAUUGUUCUCUAAAUAGGGACUAGUAUGAAUGGCAUCACGAGGGCUUAACUGUCUCCCCCCUCUAAUCAAUGAAACUGAUCUUCUCGUGAAGAAGCGAGAAUAAUAAUAUAAGACGAGAAGACCCCAUGGAGCUUCAAACUCAUCACCACCUACUCACACUAAACCACCACAAAUAGUAAAAAUGUUUUGAUAGUUUUCGGCUGGGGUGACCCUGGAGUAAAAUAAACCCUCCAGAAUAAAAGAAUAAAUAAUUCUAAUUAAAGAAUUACCAUUCUAAAAAUCAAAAAUUUGACAUCUAUGAUCCAAUUACUUGAUCAAUGAACCAAGUUACCCUGGGGAUAACAGCGCAAUCCAUUUCAAGAGCCCCUAUCGACAAAUGGGUUUACGACCUCGAUGUUGGAUCGGGGUAUCCUGGUGGCGCAGCCGCUACCGAGGGUUCGUUUGUUCAACGAUUAACAACCCU